AGCAGAACCGAAUAGAGUCGAGAGCGCAGCCUGGCCGCCGCCUGGCACAUGCCAUCACCGCCACAAAGAGCUCGUUGAGUCCAGGCGGCCAGAGCUCCCGGACUGUGCAGCGGCACAGGAGGCUCUGCGGAGCGGACCCAGGGGGAAGGGACCAGACUGAGGAUGGCCCGGAAGAGAAAGCCCCCCAGCAGCCAGGACACCUUUCUAACCAACUCGACUUUGCGGUGAUUCAGUUCAGGCCUUCUGAAGAGACAGCCUCUUGUCUUAAUGAGUCACACAGAAUCAACAGAGAUUCCUCCUGAGGAUGAGGACUUUGGUGA